rnacentral:rRNA from 1 species
UACGUAGGGUGCAAGCGUUGUCCGGAAUUAUUGGGCGUAAAGAGCUCGUAGGCGGUCUGUCGCGUCGGCUGUGAAAUCCCGAGGCUCAACCUCGGGUUUGCAGUCGAUACGGGCAAACUAGAGUAUUGCAGGGGAGACUGGAAUUCCUGGUGUAGCGGUGAAAUGCGCAGAUAUCAGGAGGAACACCGGUGGCGAAGGCGGGUCUCUGGGCAAUGAAACUGAC